AUGCUUCUACCUGAAGCACAUAUUUUGUUCUUUUCUUCAAUGGGGUUUGUUUUUCUUUACCAUUUCAUUUUAAGGCCUUUAAGAAAACAAUUCUUGGCCUUAUUUUUUAUAUUUGCCUGUAUUUUCUCUCUCUCAUUGUGCUACAUGAAAUGUGAAUGCAAGAUCUCUCACAACUAUUUCUUUCUAUCAUUUUUUCCUCUAAUCUCCAAUCAUUGUUCAUGCUUUAUUACUACAGGAAUGCAAGGUAUAUUAUCUAGAAAUAGAUCGCUUCAACCUGAUGUCCAUGAUGGUGUCAUGCUCGAUUUGAUUCUGGAGGCUUUCUUUGCUCAAUAUAGGGAUUGUGACAUGUUUGGGUGGUCUGCAAUGUGGACUUGUACAUUUCACGGUAUAUAA
rnacentral:rRNA from 1 species